UACGUAGGUGGCAAGCGUUGUCCGGAAUUAUUGGGCGUAAAGCGCGCGUAGGCGGCCCCUUAAGUCUGAUGUGAAAGCCCACGGCUCAACCGUGGAGGGUCAUUGGAAACUGGGGGUCUUGAGUACAGAAGAGGAAAGCGGAAUUCCACGUGUAGCGGUGAAAUGCGUAGAGAUGUGGAGGAACACCAGUGGCGAAGGCGGCUUUCUGGUCUGUAACUGACGCUGAGGCGCGAAAGCGUGGGGAGCAAACAGG
rnacentral:rRNA from 1 species